UACGUAGGGUGCGAGCGUUGUCCGGAAUUAUUGGGCGUAAAGAGCUUGUAGGCGGUUUGUCGCGUCUGCUGUGAAAAUCCGGGGCUCAACUCCGGACUUGCAGUGGGUACGGGCAGGCUAGAGUGUGGUAGGGGAGACUGGAAUUCCUGGUGUAGCGGUGGAAUGCGCAGAUAUCAGGAGGAACACCGAUGGCGAAGGCAGGUCUCUGGGCCACUACUGACGCUGAGGCGCGAAAGCCAGGGGAGCGAACGGG
rnacentral:rRNA from 1 species